CUCCCUGGGGGACACCGUCAGGGCUGCCCAUCCUCAACUGGCUUUGGCCAGAGACUGGGGGCCCCUGACCCUUGUUGCCUCUCUUUCCACUGAGACAGCCCAGGUCCUGGCCUUCCUGCCUCCAUCUGUCCCCAGCCCAGCCACCCAGGAUCCAAUCUCCGGGAGUCCCUGGGGACCCAGCUGCCCUGUCCGGCUGAGUGGCCCCUGGACCCUGUGUCCAGCCUGACUCUGGCUUCUUUCCCCCCCUUCCCACCCUUUUCUCUGCCGGCUGCCCCCUGGCCGGACCUGGCCAGGCCCUCACCUGUGAACAGGAUGUGGUCAAAUCUGUGCUCCAGCAGCCGCCCGGUGUCCUCAGGCCCGCCCAGCACCACGGCAAAGCAGCUCUGCCAGGUGGCACAGGAGGUCAGCGGGCAAGCCCAGGGGACAGUAGGACAGGAGGGGACUAGUGGGGCAGGUCCUCCUCACCUGGUCCAGGUACCGGGGCAGCACCUCGGCCAGCACCUUCUCGGUGCCCUUGCUGAUUUCCGAUGGCUUCAGGACCACGCAGUUCCCUGCAGAGGCACAGGGGGCUGUAGGCGGGGCCAGGGUCCCCCCAUCUGCCAGGCCUGCACCCAGGGGCCACCACAGCCCCGCGACUCUGGAGGCCCUCUUUGGGAAGGGGCGGCCGAUGGGAGGGCGGACCAGGGCCUGUCCUCACCUGCAGCGAUGGCCCCCACCAGGGGCACCAGCGUCAGGUUCAGCGGGUAGUUCCAGGGCGCGAUGAUGAGCACCAGGCCGAAGGGCUCCUUGCGGAUGAAGGCUGAGUGCAGCUUCGUGAGCUGGGUGCAGGGAGGACAGUAAAGUGCCACCAAGGACCACGAGACCCCCUCCCGCAGCCUGGGUCCUCCGCUCCUGUGCAUUAGCGUCUCCUGGAGAAGACUGGCCCUGGCCUCGGGGACAGGAAGGAGCCUGGACCAGAGCCAUCCCCUGCCCUGCUGCCACCCGGUCAGCCCACAGGGCUCACCAAGUUCGUGGCUACCGGCUCGUCCUUCAUCCAGGUGUGCAGGCUCCUGAGGGCCAGGUGCACCUCAUUCUGGCACAGGAUGAACUCCGACAUGUCCGCCUCGAAGGCCGACUGAGGAAGCGGCCCAGGCCCUGGAGCUGCGCCGCCCGGAACUCUGCCGGCCGAGUCCGCCCCGAGCCGAAGGCCUCCCGCAGCCGCCGCAGCGUGUCCUCGACGGGGUCCAUCCUGCUGGACAAGGCAGCGAGAACUGGGUGCUCCACCUCCAGGGGCGACCUGCAGCUGCCCCUCACAGGUCCAAGGCUCUGGUGACCUCGGCUUCCUACCCGGCUCCCUGUACCUCCCUGUACUGAUGCCAUCCGUGACACUGUGGGGCCAGGCACCAGGUGCCGCAGGCUCCUCCCACAGCCCAUCAGAGCCGCAGCUGGCUCUACGCAGAGGCCAGGAAGGGGCGGCCUCUCAGAGCUGACCUGAUGCACACGCCCGCCACCACCCCUGUGUGCUGUGGUCUCAGUGCCCUCCUGCAGCUCCCCGGUUUGCUACAGUGACAACAUAGUCCUUCUAGAACCCUCCACGAACAGGGAAUGUGGCCCGUGAAAUCUGAAGCCAAAGGCUCAGCUCUGGCCUCACCACCCGAGAAGCCCCCUGGCCGCCUGCCCACACAGCACAGCGCUGGCCACUCCUGCCGGCCCCACCUUCUCCUGGCUAGGCCCCUCCGGAAGGACAGGAGUCUCUCCCCGGCCCUGGGGUCCCAGGGCUUGGGGUCCCAGGGCUUUCCCGGAGCUGACCGAGGCCCGGAAGUCCCGGCAGUGAGGGCCGGACAGGGCCUGAGCACCCGUCUGCGCUGUCAACCUGCACCCGGCCGCGCCCUCUCCCCAGCAGCAGCCCCCACCCGCUUUGCCCUGCGCCCUCGUACCCCAGCGUGGGCUCUGAGCGGGGGUCCUGUGUCGACAGCGUGUCUCCAGUGCCCCGACUGCGCUCCCAGCUCUCCUCGCCGGCCCUCCUCUGCCCCUGCCCGGCCUCUGCCUCUGGCUCAGCUGCUCCCACCCCCAGGCCUGGCACUGGGUGCUCCCACCCCUCCUCGCUCCCACUGCCAGUCUCCCUGGCACGGCCCGCUGGGGAACAGGUUGGGCCGGCUGUGAGGCUGCUGUGUCUGCAGGGAGGGCUGGCAGGGCCCCGCCCGAUAAGGAGAAGCCCCCCGAGGCGAGAUGAGCUGCCAGCCACCUCCACCCCCACGCAGCGGGUCCAGGUCUGCAGGAGCAACAGUGGCUCCUUCUUUUCUGCUCCCCUGUGACCAACUGGAGGCAGGUGACUCAGCCUCUCUGAGCCUCUCUGAAGUAAGAGUCACGCACAAGUGUCAUGGUUCUUGAGAGAAUCCUGGGCAGAGGACAGGAGUAAUGAAGAGCGAAGGACUGGCUCACGCUGCCAUGUGGAGGGAUCUUGAAAACAGGACGCAGAGCGAAGAGGCACACACAUAUGUUGGGAUUCCUCUGGAAGAGCGGUGAAUGCCUGUGUGCCCAUGAGCUACAACUGGGAGGUGAUGGAUCACACGUGGAUUUUACCUCUCCAAGAGCAAAGGGCUGGGAUCCCGCUGGCUCCCACCCCCCUGCCCAUGUGCCCUGAUGGAACCUCCGCCACACGGGCAGGGCAUCGAGAUGGGCAUUGCUGUUCAGAGGAGAAACAGGGGGCACGGUGGGGCCCCGGUCCCAGGCCACCUGAGACCAGCGGGAGACAAUAAAGUGCCCUGCCUGGACCCCAAGGUCUGGGAAGGAUUCUCCAUGGC